UCCUCAGUGCCGGGGAUAAAAUGAACCCAUUUGCAGAAGAGGAAGCUUGGGAGGAUCACCAAAUUGAUUUGUAUUUGAGGAUCAGAUUGAUUUUAUCAAGGCAUCAGUGAUGGAUGGUGAUGAGUUUGAUGAUGACGGG